rnacentral:rRNA from 1 species
UACGUAGGGGGCAAGCGUUAUCCGGAAUCAUUGGGCGUAAAGCGCGUGUAGGCGGUUCCGUAAGUCCGCUCUGAAAGCCCAGGGCUCAACCCUGGGAGGCGGGUGGAUACUACGGAACUGGAGUACGGAAGAGGAGAUUGGAAUUCCUGGUGUAGCGGUGAAAUGCGCAGACAUCAGGAGGAACACCAACAGCGAAGGCAGAUCUCUGGGACGUUACUGACGCUGAGACGCGAAAGCGUGGGGAGCAAACAGG